AUUGAACGCUGGCGGCAGGCCUAACACAUGCAAGUCGAGCGGAUGAAGGGAGCUUGCUCCUGGAUUCAGCGGCGGACGGGUGAGUAAUGCCUAGGAAUCUGCCUGGUAGUGGGGGAUAACGUCCGGAAACGGGCGCUAAUACCGCAUACGUCCUGAGGGAGAAAGUGGGGGAUCUUCGGACCUCACGCUAUCAGAUGAGCCUAGGUCGGAUUAGCUAGUUGGCGGGGUAAAGGCCUACCAAGGCGACGAUCCGUAACUGGUCUGAGAGGAUGAUCGGUCACACUGGAACUGAGACACGGUCCAGACUCCUACGGGAGGCAGCAGUGGGGAAUAUUGGACAAUGGGCGAAAGCCUGAUCCAGCCAUGCCGCGUGUGUGAAGAAGGUCUUCGGAUUGUAAAGCACUUUAAGUUGGGAGGAAGGGCAGUAAGUUAAUACCUUGCUGUUUUGACGUUACCAACAGAAUAAGCACCGGCUAACUUCGUG
rnacentral:rRNA from 1 species